rnacentral:rRNA from 1 species
UACGGAGGAUGCAAGCGUUAUCCGGAAUGAUUGGGCGUAAAGCGUCCGCAGGUGGCUGUGUAAGUCUGCUGUCAAAGCGUCUGGCUUAACCAGAUAAAGGCAGUGGAAACUACACGGCUAGAGUGCGUUCGGGGCAGAGGGAAUUCCUGGUGUAGCGGUGAAAUGCGUAGAGAUCAGGAAGAACACCCAUGGCGAAAGCAGCUCUCUGGGACGGUACUGACGCUGAGACGCGAAAGCGUGGGGAGCGAACAGG